rnacentral:ncRNA from 2 species
AAAGAAAGCUAGGGGAGCCAUUUGGCUGAGAAGGUUUCAAACCUGACUCUUUGAACCUGAUGUGGUUAGUACCAUCGUAGGGAAGCUUAUACAUAAUUUU